rnacentral:snRNA from 1 species
UUGCUUCAGCAGCACAUAUACUAAAAUUGCAUUGAUACAGAGAAUAUUAGCAUGGUCCCUGUGCAAGGAUGACAUAACUUCAUGAGGUGUUCCAUAUUUUU